CGACAGUCACAAGCGCUGUCACUGUUGACUGCAGGGAGAAAAUUUUCUUACACGUAGUUUUUCGUCUUUCGCACUUUCGGAAUCUUCCGUUUUUUUGUGGAACAAACAGUUGAUUAUUCGCGUAACCGGAGUCACUUUUCGUGCGUUGAUUGGUGCCACCCAAUGUCCACUAUCUUCGUAAUGUUGUAGAUGUGAAAAAACGAGCCAUUUAACUGUUGGAAAUGUUCAAAAAACUAAAGGAUAAAAUCACCGAAGAGGUGAAGCAAUCUCCGCAGCGAUUUGAGCAACUGUCCAAGGGUAUACAGGCGGCAGUCAGUUCGGCUUCCUCAACCACUUCAGAAGUCUCCGGGAAUGAGAAUUUCUUCAGCAUUACAGAGGAUGAUACUCCUCAAAACUCACCGUUACGUAACUCGCAAGCGCUAGCAGGAAAAGGUACCAGCACACCGGUCCAACAGCAACAACAGAAUUUGCUCAAUAACAACAUGUCAGGCAAGAGUAGUAACACUUCGACCAGUUCACCGUCAAACAGUAACGAUAACAGCGACAACAGCUCAGUAUUUUCCAAUGUGACCGGUGGAAAUGUGGUGGCUGGUAGUAGUAACAGUAAUAGCAAUAAUGGCGUUUCGCCGAUCGUGAGUCGGGUGCGUCGGUUAUCCAACUCUUCGAUGGCCAGUGACGUGUCCUUCCGCCUGCCGGCGUACGAUUCUCCUGCCCUCUUCCAUUUGGAGACUGAUAUCGAUGUGUCGGCCAGUGAAACUGAAUCUGUAUCCGGCUCCGCUGCCACCAACGGACAGCUGGAUCUAGUGAGCAAGGAUAAACUAUUCCAGGCGUACAAAAAGGCCCUCGAUCGAUAUCAGAAGUACCGGGAGCGGUAUACCGAGUUGGCACGACGAUAUCGAGAACUGGAAAAGGACAACAUGAAGGCUCGAUCCGUACUGGGGGAAACUCAAGAUAAGGCACUGCGGAGAAUAAGCGAAUUGAGGGAGCAGUGCUCGCUGGAACAGCAGGCUAAAGCCCACCUGGAUUCGGCGUUACGGAUGGAGAUUGAUGAGCUUCAGUGUGUUGUGAAAACGCUUAAAUCAAAACUUGAAGCAGUGGCGGAUCAGCCAAACGACUCAUCAAAGAGCGCUGAGAAUGAUUUGAUAACUCUGUCCGGUAAUGAUGGUCUGGAGGAUAAAAUCAAAGAGUUGGAAGCGAAGUUGGUAGAGGAGAUGAAACUCAAGACUGCUCUGGAGCAAGAAGUGGUUUUGUUGAAGAAAAGAGAGGAAGAGCAUUCCAUUUCGGUGGCGGAGAAUAAGAUGGCGAUUCACUCGGAACUGGAAAGCAAGGAAUCAGAGGUACGAAAAUUGAAAGAGCAGUUGAUGAGUAUCGAGAAGAACAUCAAGAAGGUGCUGGUAGAUAAAGAAAGUUUAGGAAAAGAAGUGACCGAGCUGAGAAGCAAACUUGCCUCGACAGAACGAGCCGCCGCAAAAGUGAAGGAGCUCGAAAGUACGGUUGCAACGUGCAACGAGCAGAAGAACAAAUUGGAAUCCAAAUUCGUCGAGUUCGAACGUAGCAUUUUAGAGCUGGAAAAGGAAAAGCAUCAAAUGAAGGUGGACACCCAGAAUCUCGAACACGAGAAAAGUGAACUAUCCAAUAAGCUGAAUCACUUCGAACGGAAGUUCGAAAAAAGCACUAAAGAGAACGAACUCUUGUCAGCGAAAUUUGAAGAACUGGAAAAGCUGUCCAAAAAUCUAAGUAGCACCGAAGAACUUGCAGCUCUGCAAAUUCAAAACAAAGAACUGUCCGAAAGCAGGGAUGAACUGCAAAAAACAAUCGCUGCGACACUUUCGGAAUUAGAUAAGUACCGUCAAAGUCAAGUGGAGAACGAACAGUAUGUGCAAGACACAAACAAGAAAAUUGAAGAGCUUAAAAAUUCCUUACUAGAUAGCGAAAAAAACAUUCAAGAACUACAAGCCAAAUUAGUGCAACAAGAAUUGGUCCACAAAGAAGACUCCACUCGGCUUGAAUCCACCGCAAAAGAGUUGACAGAAAACAACAAGAAAAUAGAACAUCAAGAAGACGAAAUCUUGAAAUUGAAGAAAACCAUUUCCCUUGAUCAGGAACGUCUCAUAGAAGUAUCGAAAGCUCUCGAUGCACAAAAAGAAAUCCACGACCGUGACCGGGCCAGCAAUGAAGCCAGCCUCAAGGAUGUCUUCGAUCAAAACAAUCAUCUGACAGCAGAGCUGAAACAAUUCAAAGACAAACUGGAGAAGGUGAAUGCCAAGUUUAAAAAGAUGACCGAGGAAAAGGGAAGCCUAAAAUCUCAGAAUGAACAACUGCAGUCGGAUAUAAAAACUUGCAAACACGAGAUCAACAGUCUGCUGCAGCAGAAAGCCUCUCUCACGGAGGAGAUACGGAAUUUGAAAAUAAUCAACGAAAACUCCGAAUCGGAAGCGCUGAAGUCACUGCAGGAAUCGAUGAGGGCUAGCCUUGCCCAGGCGGACGAACGGUUGCUGGAAACAACGCGGGAUUUGAACGAUGUGAUCGAGCUCAAGUCGGAAGAGAAUCGAAGACUCUCAGAGGAACGGGAUGAACUUACCGAAAAACUGGACUGCAUGCACAAGGAGAAAGAAGAUCUCGCGUCCGAGUCGACAACAUUGAAGGCCAAGGUAGAAUCAUUACGCAACGAAAAGAGGGAUCUGGAGAAAACACUUGAACGGGAAAUUCGUGAGAAAACGGAACUCAAGGCGCAAGUUACCAACAUUCUACAAGAGAUCGGUCGGUUGGAGGAACAACUAAAGGAUGUAAAAACCUCCCACUCGGCUAUUUUGAACGAAAAACAAUCGCUAGAGGAGAAAAUCGAGCGGCUGCAGAGACAACACACCGAGUCCAAGAGCAAGGCAGACAAGGAGAAUACUCACAAGUGGCAAACCAAGUUCAAGGAAAGCGAAGUGAAGCUGCAAAAUGUGGAGUGCGAAAAUUCGCAACUGGCUGAGAAAAACUGUUUACUAGAGGAGAGCAACCGAAGGACAUCGGAGGAGAUCAAGAGAUUGCAGACAUCGCUGCAGGAAGCUGAGUCUGCCGUCAAGCAGGAGAAGAAGAAACACAAGGAAGCGAACGCGCAGCUGGAGGAAUUGAAGAAAAAAUGUCACGAGUUGCAAGAAAAGAAUGAAACAGCUGCAAAUCAACUGAAACAGUGCGCUGGUGAUAACGCCAAGUUGUUCAACGAGAAAGAGCUUCUGGACCAUCAGUAUCGAUCUCUGCAGGAUGAGCUGGAAGCUAAGGAAAAAGAGAAGCUGUGUGUGCUGGACAGCAACAAAUGCCUGACGGAAGAAGUGUUGGAAACGAAGAACAGUAUGGAGGUCCUGGAGGAAGAGAAGAACAGGCUUAGCAAAGAGUGUGAUGAACUGAAGAAGGAGAUCGAAGCAGCACGAACGGAGAGUGAUUAUCUGAAAGGUAAACAAAACGAACUGAAAGCCAGGCUGGAGGAGGAAAAACAGACUCUCCAGCAGCAAAAUGAAGCCCUUCGGAAGGAGAUCGACCUGACGAAGGCGGGCAAUCAGAGUCGUUUGCAAGAGUUCGAAGCGUUGAUGAAGAAAGCCAAUGACGAGAAGCAAUCGAUGAGCAAAAAUGCCACUGAUCUGGAGAAGAAGUUGGAAAACUAUGAAGAAAUCAAAAUCGAAAACGAAUAUCUUAGCACGUUAAUCAAACAGUUAGAAGCGGAAAUGCACACACUCAAGGAUGAGAAAGCGAAGCUAAUUGCGUCCGCUAGUGGGAAAGAUGCGGAGAUCGGCACAUUGAGGACAAAGCUAAACCAAAACGAAUCGACCAUUGAGACAAAAGAUCAGGAAAUUAAGAAGCUCAUCAAUGAGUUCGUGAGUAAAGAGAACGAGAUGAAGGCAAAGAUUUUGACGCUGGAGCACGCGAAAUCGGAGUCCGAGAAGCUUAAAGCAAAAACGAGUACCGAGCUGGAGGCGGAAAAAUCGAGGCUUUCAGAGCUUGAGGAGACAGUUUCCAAAGAGCAGGCACUACGAGGCGAGAUCGAGCAGGAGAACAAAGAUUUGAAACAACGGCUGGAAACAGAGCAGGAACAAAUCGAAAUGCUGAAAAAAGAGGUGCACAGUGUGCAGGAGCUGAGAUUAGAGAAUGAGAAUUAUACUCGUGAUCUGGAUGAGUUGAAGAGCGAACUGAAUAUAGCAAUAGCAGAGAAGUUGGAACUGGUGGAACAGCACUCGAAGCUGAAGGAGAAGUUUGAUACCUUCAGUGCUGAUACGGAACGAAGUGUGGAACGGUUUAAGACGGAGUUCAAAGUAUUGCAGCAGCAGCAAGAGGGCACCAAUAAUAAUCUGGACGAUGGUGAUGAUAAAAUCAAAGCGUUCGAUGAGAUGCGAAACAAGAAGGAAGAAUUGGAGAACAAGCUGAAGAAAAUUAUGCACGAAGUGCAGGAUGUGUCGAACAGAAACUUGUUUUUGGAGCAAAAAUGCGAGAAUUAUCUGAUCUUGGAGCAGUCGAAUGAACGUCUAAAGCUACAAAAUGAUAAGCUGUCGCGCCAAUUGGAUGAAACGCUGAUUUCGAUGCAUCACACCGAGGGCAUAUCAGCGAACACAGAGUUUGAGUACUUACGGAAUAUCCUAUUCCAGUAUCUAAGUGGUAACGUUAACGGUAACAAUUCCACACUUGUUAAAGUGAUAGCAGCCGUUCUCAAAUUUACCCCUCAGCAAACUCAGGUUGUGUUAGAAAAGGAGGCGCAUCGACGGUCACUGGUGGGACAGAUCAACAAUCUUCUAUAGCAGGAAAAAUCUAGUGCCGUGCAGCAGAAACUGCUGCAUUCCCGUGCCACCCGUUAUCGGUACUAUUAAGCCAACAGUGAUUAGAUCGUUCAACGUGGCAACAAACAAAAAAAGCUUCCGAAUGCUGGCUGACCAAACCACGAAUAUCAUAACCUUUGCAGCCACCACUUAUCUUGGUGUGAGAGAAAAUUCCCAUAAAGCCAAUGCGUGUUGAAGUGCGCGCAGAUGGCAAGCUGUUUUACAACUUUCCCUUAACCCAAUGCCCCAUGUUCUUCCGCGCUACUACCCUCUGACCGGCCAACCAGCACCACAGUGGUUAUCUCAAAAACGUGUGUACGAAGACCUCCCGAAAAUGUUGAACACAAUGGUGAGGAAUGUGAUCCAGCAGGAAAACGGGGCAGCAACUUUCGAUCAACAUCAGUGAUACACACAAAGACAUAACUCAUAAUACACAACCACCAUAAGAACAAUACGAAUCCCCAUGCUGGUGAUAGCUCGAUAGAGACAGACUGCCACAUUUUCCAUUCCACAACAAUUAAUAUUCACCUCAGCGCUCGAUCAUCGACUAUAUGGCUCAGGAAGAGUUCAGCGAAUUUCCGUAAGUGGUAGGUCACCUGGAUAGUGUCCGCGUCUAUAUCCAUUCGGCGAAUCUGUCGCUCGAGUUCGGUGAAUUUGGUGGAAUUAUCCAUCGUGGCUCGAUGGCUAGCUGGGUUCACACGACACGCGUCAGCUGAGUGUUUUCGGGGUUCGUCGAUUUUAAUCACUUCACACUGCUCAGGGCUACCCUCGAAAGUAAUCUUUCAUUAGAAACUAUUCACGCAUUUUGAAACGAACCACACUGCCAGAUUGGGAUGAGUGUCACACAACAAUCUCUAAUCGUUAACACUCUUGCUAAAUCGGUUUGCGAGCGCACGCCUUGUUGUUUCUUCUAUUGUUGCAAUUUUGUUUACUUGUAAUUACAUGUUUUCUUCUUUGCACUCUGAUGUUUGCGGAAGUAGACCUCAGAUCGUCACGCGGCUAGACGAACGAGUUUCAUUCAUGUAAAACACGAACAACAUGCGCACGUUGUUGUCGAAGAUGCUUGCGCCACGAGAUACCGAGUACUAAUGAAUCUCUUUUUUAUACAUUCAGAGAUCCGCUUCUGCUGCCUGGUCAAUAUAAAAAGUAGCGCUACUCACGAAUAUAUGGAUGGCGCUUAGUUUUUUUUUUGUUCUCCGAGUGGAGCAAUAAACCCCCCGUCUGUCACUAACACAGUCCGAUUAACGGUGCAAUGAAUGUGCUGAGCGCGUAUGAGUACCCACUUAAACCGGCGCGACGCGGCCUCCGGUGGCUAUAUGGGAGAGCGAAUGUUGUUUUGUGGUUGUGGCAAAGUUUGAUUGCGCUAAAAAUUGACCCUCUCGCGGCUGUGAGGAACGCGAACGCGAAUACGUCUGUUCAAAUGUAUGAUUUUUUUAUGGAUUAAUUUCAGAUACCGGUUGUCAAUGAUAAUAGAACCCUUAUCUGUCGGUGAUACUCUGAU